ensembl:lncRNA
CCCCUUCCGGCUUGCAGACUUCUCUCCUUCCCUGUGAAGCCUUUGAUUCCGCUCUUGACUUAGUCCGCGGUUACUUUCAGUAAAAGUUAAGGCGUGAAGGCCGCAGCCCAGGCGAGGGGAGGAGACAGAAAGGCCAAGCUGGGAGGCAGGAGGGGAAGCAGAGCUGUCGGGAGGAGGCGGCAGCAGGAGGCUGUGGUCUGAGGGGCAGAGGCGUCACUGAAGCGACAUAUAAAAGCCACAGAGACGCGAGGGGCGCGCGGAACCCCUCUCCUCCGGCUCCUCGAGCAGGCAGCCACACCUGGCAGCCAGGGAAGCCUCGGGGAUUCUUUGGAAACCGCGAAGUCCGUGGAAGAAAAACAGGCUUCGAAUCCCUGCACGUCUGGGGGUGGCCAGGGCCCGCAGAGGCAUGGGCUGCGCAGGGCUGCCGUCCUGGGGCUCUGCCCUAACUCCCCAGGGAGCACACGCCCGUACCCGCAGCCUCACCGGCCAACCGUCGCCUGAGAUGAAGAGAUUAUCCUGUGCUUGACGUCACUGUCUUCCACCAAAUGGAACCCAGGGUCUUGCUGGGUAGUUCAGGCUGACCUGGAACUCGUGGCAAUCCUCCUGCCUCAGCCUCCUGGAGUACUGGGAUUACAGACCUGCACCACCACACCAGGCUAACCAUAACUUAUUAUUGAGGUUGUCCGUGACUGUGGCAUGGAUAUGGAGCAGUUCCAGUAGAGAGACCUGGCACAACCAGCUCAGAGUGAGCACAUGCAGGUGGACAGAAAGGAGAGACCUCUGGUGUACACCACUGGGUCACCAUGCUUGGCUGUGAGAAGAGAAAGGACAGGUGCAAGAGCAAGGUGCCUGGUGGCAGGACUCCUCUUCGGGAAAGCCUUCGGCAUUCUUAACUGACCGGAGGAAAGCUACAGUAAAGAGGGAAAGACUUCAUGUUUAGGGAGAAAGCAAGGAAGUGUGGAUUUGGUUCCUCCCCCUGCACAUUAGAAAGGACAUCAGACCCAAGCAAUCAGAAGAUGGGGCUCUGCCCAGAUGCUUGCUCAGGGUGGGGCACUAAGGUCCCAACAUCACCCGUUUUAUUUUGAGCCUUGAGAAUGAACCAGCCCAGCCUCCCUUCUUCCCUUCCUCCCUCCUUUCUUCCCUUGUUGGUGGUACUAAGGAUCAAACCCAGGGGUCCUCUUGCUGCAGUCCUUAGCCUUAUUUUUAUAUUGAGACAAGGUCUUGUAAAAUUGUCAAGGCAGGACUCAAACUGUUGAUCCUCCUGCCUCAGCCUUCCUUGGUGCUGGAAUUACAGGCAUGCACCACCACACCCAGCUGAUCUGGCCUUUCUAAUUUACCUUCACUCCCUAGGUGACGUGGACACUGUCAUUAACAGGUGGCACUGACAUAAACUAAUGCUACCCAAAGGCUGCUAAGGGUUUGUGCCUGCUUACAGCUUGAGAAUCUGUUACCUCACAGACAAGCAACUUGAGGCUAGAGCAGCUGAGGAGAAAGGGCAGAGCAGGGACACGGCCUGGCGCUCACACUUCAGCUUGCUUUCCCUUUCCGGAGUGUGGAGCUGAGGGAGCCCAUGCUUGUGGCUGAGUCAAAGGGGUAUGUCAGAUUGAUUAUGGAAUUGCAGAAUGAUCAAGCUGCUUUUCCAGUGCCCUCUGGAUUUUCACACUGAUAGACAUGCGUCCCUCUGUCUCUGGACCCACAGAAACCUGACCCCACACACCCUGUCCACUGGCUAUUGCCAACCAGAAACCCAGCACCAUGAGGCUUUGCCCUGGCACUGAUCUUCAGCCCAGCUUGUUCUCAUGGAGAUGAGGAGCAGCCUGCUCACCCUAACUCAAGGCCCCUUUUCUCGCUCAGCCUCCAGAUCCCAAAUUUAUUCUGAGCAGCACUGUACCCCCCUAAAGGACUGAAUUUUCCAGCCUUUCUUCUACUUGGCCUUCAACUUAAGUUUUGGCCAAUGAUAUGUAAGCAG